UGGUAGUUAAUUUGGAUAUGAGUCUGGUGGAAUUUCCUGCCUUGGUUGGCUUCAAUUUGUGAUCCUCAGAUCUCAGCCUCCUGAGCAGCUAGGAAUACAAGCAUGAGCCUCUGGCACCUAACUAGACCUAGUCUUGAAGAAUUUGAUGAUACUCUUAAGUGCUAAUCCUUCCCCACAUAUAAAAAUAGACAAUCAUUGAUUGCUUCUAUUCUCAAGAAAGUCUAUCUAGUCCGGAGCUCCAGUGCCUCUGCACCGAUUGCUUCCAUUGCCUCCAUCAUUUGUUCUGAAGAUGUGCCCCCCCCCCCUGCUUAGAGUGCUAUUAUCUUAUCAAAUAAUUGAGUACAGAAUUAGAUGCUAGUAAACUCCAACUCUUUCUCAUAUUGCCAAAGACCUUUUGUUGUUUCUUAACCAUAUUCUUAGAAGGUCAUUACGAAGCAUGAGUUUAAAUUGGUGUUUUGGCUCUCUCUAGCAGGAGAUCUUGGCUAGCAUGUCAUGAAUCUCUAGAAUUUGCUUGUUUUCAUCUCUUUCCCUAAGUCUUUUAUGUUGUCUACUUCCUCUGACUGAUUCUUGUCUACUAAGGAAACAUAUUUCCAUUCUUUUGAGUUGAGGGAAGAAAGCUUGUUUUUCAUUUAGGAUUAUUUCUAUCCCUGAAUGGAAAAAUACCUUUAAAUCUAUUGGUGUAUAUAGACUAAAAUAAUCUGAUUGAAAUUCCUAAAUACAAGUAUAAUCUUGUGUGUGUUCCAGUGCCGGUAAAUAAUACAUGAAUGGUUUCUAACUUAA